rnacentral:rRNA from 1 species
UACGUAGGCAGCAAGCGUUGUUCGGAAUUACUGGGCGUAAAGAGUGUGUAGGCGGUGCUCUAAGUUCGGUGUGAAAUCUCCCGGCUCAACUGGGAGGGUGCGCCGGAAACUGGAGUGCUGGAGCGCGGGAGAGGAAAGCGGAAUUCCUGGUGUAGCGGUGAAAUGCGUAGAUAUCAGGAGGAACACCAGUGGCGAAGGCGGCGACCUGGACGGACAUUGACGCUGAGACGCGAAAGCGUGGGGAGCAAACAGG